rnacentral:lncRNA from 1 species
GAAAACUUUUUUUUUCCCUUUUCUUCUUCCUCUCGUGCGCCGCCGACCGUCCCUCUCUUCUCCCGUUCGCAGCAAGCAGCCGCCGACCAUCCCUUCUCCUCUUCUCCUCUCCGUUCCGCCGGAUCGAGCCGAACUCAACCGCAACGUCUGUUUCUUCCUCCGUUCACCAAAGCCGAACCCACUUUCUUUUCUUCUUCGAUCCAAAACUGUCGCUGUAACCGUCGGCCACCGCGUAACUUUCUGUCCAGAUCUGCGUCGCCGUGCCCAGUCCUAACCGCCGCUGCAACCGUCUCCGCGCCAUUGCUGUGUCUCCGUCGAAGCCAAGGCCGCCGCGUGAACCAUUAACCGCCACGCCCUCCGCUCACAACCGUUGUCCAGAUCUGCAUCGCCGAGCCGUCCAGGUCCUCGCCGCCGCUCGUGCUUCACCCUUGCAGUUCGCAGUAGCCCAAAUCCGUCGCUGCAACCGUCGGCGCGGUUCGUGAAGCCCUGCCGCGCAACCUCUGUUUCCAGCCGCCGCCCAUUCCGUUCUCCUCUUUUUUCUGCACUGCCGCGCCACUCUCCGACCGCGUCUGUCUUCACCUCCGUGAAGUCGUCGACGCAUACAUCUUGUGAAGCCCGGUCGCCGUGUCAGAUCGAAUUUUGUGAGAUAUGUGUCGUGAAAGUAAUCGAAUUUUGUAUUGUUAUGCUUAGGAUUGUUUCGAGAACGUUAGUUGAUUAAGGAGCUUCCCUAACUUUGAGGUAAGGGAUUUUCUACCGGACUCACUUAUGAUUGUGAAUUGUAUGUCUGUAUAUGUUGAGAUUAUAUAUAUACACGUAUGGAUGUAGAUUCGGUGUUGAAUGUAUACUGUGGAUGACUGAAAAUAUAUAUAUACAUAUUUGAAGUAGACUUGAUGUUGAAUGCAUAUUGUGAUUGUCUUGGAAUAUAUAUAUAUGUGUGUGGAUGUAGACAGGACGAAAAUUGUAGAUUGUGUUUGUAUGAGAUGCGGAUGUGAACUUGUGAUUGUCGUUUAGAUGGGUGUACGUUACUAAAGUAUGACUGUGUGCUGGUGAACUGAGGGGUUAUGACUAUAGUUUGAUUGACUGACGUAUUAGUAUGUUAUUGACAGACAUUGACUAAAGUGAGAUAAGUUGACUGUUAGAACGUUGAGUGAAAGAACUUUAUAUUUUGAAGUAACUGAAAGAUGGUAUUGAAUGGAUUGAGGGGAAAAUUGUUAGCUUUUAUUGGGAUGUGUGCCUUGUAGGUGUCCCACGGGAUCACCAAUUUAUUCUGCACCUUCGGGAGCAUUAGACUGAUAUGUGUUUCUGCAGAACACUAGACUGAAAUGUACGUCCCUCGGGUUAGACUGAAAUGUGCAUCCUACGGGAUCACAAGACUGCGACUGUACAGGGUGUCCCAAUAGAAUGUUAACAAUUUAUUUUCCCCUGACGGGACCAGUAGAGGGUCUCUUACUGGUAUUUUAUACUCACCCUUCUUAUGUUUAAUUUUCAGGCAAAGGUAAUAAAGGCGGCAAACCGGCGAGGGCAGGAAGGAAGCGUGAUUGCCAUAGGAAAUGUGUUAUUUUGCUUCCGCUUAUUGUUUUUUUGAGGUUUAAGAUGUAUUGAAACUUAGUUUACAAACUUUUAUUUGUAAAUAGUUUUUUUUAAGUUUUUUGAAUAUUUGAAAAUCAGGCCUGACUUAAAUUGUUUUUCAAUUGGCUUACAUUUCAUUUUGUAUCAACCAAAGUCUUUUGUCAAAAAUUAACGACCUCGACUUACCUAGAAAAGUUGGGUCGUUACAGUUGGUAUCAGAGCCUAAGUUUUAGGUUCUGUAGACUGACUUACGAUGUAAGUCUAUGUUUUUGUCCUAUGGCUAACGCGACCCUUCGUCUCUCGUCAGGUAUGCUUUAUGCUUAUAUGUAUGGUUUAUUUGCAUGACUUUGCCUAAAUUAAACUAGAUUGCAUGACGAUAAAGACUUGCUUAUGCUUAUGAUUAAGACUUUUUAAAGAGUGUUGUUGGUGGAUAAUAGGAAUUAUGCCGCCAAAGAGAGGUGUACGUAGAGGAGGUCGUAGAGGUUAAGGAGCAGGAGGCCGGGAGAAUCGCCUACUGAGGGUCAAGCUGAAACAGCGAAUUCCUGCUUGCACUGCACCGUGACUCACGUCGAGUUUGAUGCACUGUCUGCUCACAUGGAGCAGAGGUUUACGGAACUUAUGACGGCUAUAGCUCAGAACCAGCAGGCACCUGCAGUUCCACCUGCACCUGUGGUUCCCCUGUACCAGCAGCUCCACCUGCACCAGCAGCCCCUCCUGCACAAGGAUUGGCUGCACAACAGCCGCAGAUAUUACCGAACCAACUUUCUGCUGAGGCGAAACAUUUGAGGGACUUUAGGAAAUAUGACCCUCAGACGUUUGAUGGGUCACUGGAGGAUCCUACUAAAGCUGAGUUGUGGUUGUCCUCUGUGGAAACCAUAUUCAAUUACAUGAGAUGUCCCGAGGAGCACAGAGUUCAGUGUGCUGCUUUUCUACUGAGGGACAGAGGCAUUAUCUGGUGGAGGACUACAAUGCGCAUGCUAGGUGGAGAUGUGAGGCAGAUUACCUGGGAUCAGUUUAAAGACUGCUUCUAUACCAAGUUUUUCUCGGCUAACCUUAGAGACGCCAAAAGCCAGGAAUUCUUGGAGUUGAAGCAAGGACAUAUGACAGUCGAGGAGUACGACCAGGAGUUUGAUAUGCUGUCACGUUUUGCCCCUGAACUUGUUGGUAAUGAUCAGGCUAGAGCUGAUAGGUUCGUCAAGGGAUUGAGAGAUGAGAUUAGGGGCUUUGUGCGAGCACUAAAGCCCACUACCCAGGCUGAAGCGCUGCGUCUGGCAGUGGAUAUGAGCAUUGGGAAGGAUGAAAUACGGCCAAGGAGCUUUGAUAAGGGAUCGUCGUCUGGUCAAAAGAGGAAAGCAGAGUAGAGAACUGUGGGAGUUCCUCAGAGGAACUUGAGACCAGGGGAUCCUUUUCGCAGUUUCCAGCAGAGUUCUGGCGGGGCAGGAGACACUACUCGAGAGAAGCCAUUAUGCAAUACGUGUGGGAAACGCCACAUGGGUCGUUGUUUGAUGGGAACGAGAGUCUGUUAUAAGUGCAAGCAAGAGGGACACAUGGCUGAUAGGUGUCCCUUGAGAUCUACUGGGGCUGGACAGAGCAGUCAGGGAGAGAGACCUCCACAGCGGGGUACAAUCUUUGCCACUAAUAGAUCAGAGGCAGAGAAGGCCGGCACAGUGGUGACAGGUACAUUACCAAUGUUAGGGCAUUUUGCCUUGACCUUGUUUGACUCGGGAUCUUCUCAUUCAUUUAUUUCACCGCUUUUUGUGACGCAUGCAUGCUUAGAGGUGGAACCCUUAGAUUAUGUUUUGUCAGUGUCUACACCGUCUGGAGAAAUUAUGUUGUCUAAGGAAAAGAUUAAAGCAUGUGAAAUUGAGAUAGCUGGUCGUGUGCUGGACGUAACCUUGUUGGUACUAGAUAUGCGUGACUUUGAUGUAAUUUUAGGUAUGGAUUGACUAGCUACUAAUCAUGCUAGUAUUGAUUGUUCUCGUAAGGAAGUUGUGUUCAGUCCCCCUACUGCAUCUAGCUUUAAAUUCAAGGGGGUGGGAACAGUAGUACUGCCUAAAGUAAUCUCAGCUAUGAAAGCUAGUAAACUGCUCAACCAGGGUACUUGGAGUAUUUUGGCAAGUGUGGUGGAUACUAGGGAAGAUGAGACUUCUUUAACUUCAGAACCUGUGGUAAGAGAAUACCCAGAUGUGUUUCCAAAAGAUCUUCCAGGACUACCGCCACAUAGAGAGGUUGAUUUUGCCAUUGAGUUGGAGCCAGACACUACUCCUAUUUCUAGAGCCCCUUAUAGGAUGGCUCCUGCUGAGUUGAAAGAACUGAAGGUACAGUUACAGGAAUUGCUUGACAAAGGCUUUAUUCGACCUAGUGUGUCACCUUGGGGUGCACCAGUAUUGUUUGUGAAGAAGAAGGAUGGGUCGAUGCGUCUUUGCAUUGACUAUAGAGAGUUGAAUAAAGUAACAGUCAAGAACAGAUAUCCUUUACCAAGAAUCGAUGAUUUGUUCGAUCAGUUACAGGGAGCCACGGUGUUCUCUAAGAUUGACUUACGGUCAGGUUAUCACCAGUUGAGGAUUAGAGACCGUGAUAUUCCUAAGACUGCUUUUCGUUCGAGGUAUGGACAUUAUGAAUUCAUAGUAAUGUCUUUUGGUUUGACUAAUGCACCUGCUGUAUUUAUGGAUUUGAUGAACAGGGUGUUUAAGGAUUUCUUAGACACUUUUGUGAUAGUCUUCAUUGAUGAUAUUUUGGUUUAUUCCAAGACUGAGGCCGAACAUGAGGAACACUUACAUAAGGUGUUAGAGACUCUUCGAGUCAAUAAACUGUAUGCUAAAUUCUCUAAGUGCGAAUUUUGGUUGAAGUAGGUGGAACGAAGAUAAAAAUUUACUAAAUUUUCAUUUUAUUCAUGUUUGCAUUAGCAUUGUGGACACGCUUCAAAACAUUUGUUAUAACAUUUGGGUGGGGAUGACCUAAUUCUUGGGAUUUAUGUCCUAAAACUCAUAAAUUGUAAAUAUAAUUCAUUGACCAUUAUUUAUUAAUAAAAUGUUGUUAUUUCAAUAAGCGUUAUUGAUUAUAUUAUUCGUUUUGUCUUAAUAACCUAAAUUCAAUAACUAUCAUCCUAAUCUAUUUGAUGAGUCUUGAACAAUAUGUAGUAUAGGGAUAAGGCUGGGUACCUUAUCUUGGUAACACUAUGGAUACAGCUCACUUUGUAUUUGAUACAAAUGCAGUGAUAAAACGUGUUUGCGUAGGUGAAAUGCGAGUGAAGGGUAAUAUGCAAUGAGUUUGCAUAAGACCGAAUCAUGAAAUAGUAACCGCUAGAUGUAACUCCGUUAACUAGUUAGCUUUCCAUUUUAUUAGGAUGACAAAAGUAACUUAGUCUUAAUCCUGAGUGUAUUAUGAACUCUUGUUUGUGAGGGAUUAUCCUUUGAUCUGUACGGGUGAGAGUGGUUAGAUUGUCGACUCAAUAUGCUUAUCAUUUUGGGGACAAGACCAAAUAGGGAGCUGGAAACAUAAUCACACAAUAUGGAUUCACCCUUUCCUGACUUUAGGGUAAGUAUAUGAAUAUUCUCUUAAAUAGUGUCUCCGGGACUUGAACAAAGGAGCUUACCCUCUUUAUGGUAUGAGAGGGGUUUAUGUUUAUUGGUUGGACCAUAAAAAAAUUGUUCAUUAGAGGAGCACUGAUAUUUAAGGACUAGAAGUAACCUAGGGGCAAAACUGUAAUUUGAUCCAAUUGGUGUUACGAACACUCGUGAAUGACUAACUUACUGGUAUUGGUCUAUAUCCGUGGACAUAGAAAUAUAUCUACAGUAAGAAGAGUUCAACUGUGAGUCUUUAGUGAAGUGUACACACACAGUUAACAAAUUAAUUGGUUUAAAUGAAUUUUUUAUUAAAUAUGAUUUAAUUAAUUAGUUAAUUUCAUAUUUCUAUUAAUUUGAUAUUUUAAAUUAAUAGAAUCUCAUGAUUCUCUCCAACCUUCUGAAGGAGAGAGAGUUAUAAAUACGCAAAAGAAAACAAGUUUUUCAACCUAAGCUUUUGUCUCUCUGCAAAUCCUAUCAGAGAUUCUAUGAAAAACUUUUUCACAUUUCAAUUGGUUCUCACAAACCAAUCUCAUCCCAGAUGAUAGGAAAGUCUCUGAUGGUGACGUCAACGAGACUAUAUUACUCUAUUAUGUAAUUCUCUAAUCUAUAAUUUGUUUAAUUAUGUUUAACCUUAGUUUAAAUUAUAAGAAAAUUUGUUUCUGUACAUAAUUUUAAGUUCCUAAUUAAAUUUGAAAAUGUCUUUGCAAAAUCUUUUGCUGACAAUGACUUUAAUCUCUUCACUAAUCUCCUAUGCCAUAUAUCAAUAGGAUUCAUAUGAUAAUUGGACAAGACGUACAAUAGUUAAAAUAUUAGUGCUAGUGUUGGUUUCAGACUUCAAACCAUCAUUUAACUGUCCUUGGAGAAGUAUUUGUCCAGUUCCUUCAUCCUUCUCAUAACAUAGGUUAGGGCGAAAUUCAAAGAGACAUGAAGUAAAUUUUAAGUGCUAAAGAUUUAGAUAGAACAAAUAAUGAUGAAUUCAAUUGGAAUGAACCACAAUGAAGUAUUGGCAAACCUAAAUAUGAUUAACCAAAUUUUGAAUCAAGAACAAUAGAAAACAAACAUAUUCCAAUAAUUCAACAUGAAUUUCAUGCUCUGAUACCACUUGUUGGCAUAAAUACUUUAAAUCUAUAUAAUAGAUUAACCCAAGAUCAUUUAUGUCAAAUUGUUAAGAAUAAGUUAUAUACCAGGUUUCAUUGAUGAUGGCUAUAAAAUGGUGAUUGUCUGAUGGCUACAAAAUGACUAUUGUCUUCCUCAACUAAAACCCCUUAGUGAGAUCUUUCUCUUGAUGAGAUACAAGAAAGACUCGGUGCUUAUUGUUUUGAUAUAUUGGGAACCAUAGCCCUAAGUCGCUUUAUAUACUAAUUCAAUUAUGAUCCCCAUUAAACCUUAAUCAAUCCAGGAAUAGACUUCUACUAAUUUAAUUCAUACUCAAUUAGAAAUUUUAGAUCUUAAUUAAAUAUAACCCAAUAUGAUAAAUUAUUAAUUUGCAUACAUAGCCACACUUUAAUUAUACGUAACAUUUAAAUACGUCUAACAAAUAACAUACUCCUAACGACUUCAAUGAAGUAGGUUUAAGAUUAUUAACACAGUAGCCAACUAAGUUUUAGAGUUAUAUUAGGAUAUUGGGUAGGUAAAGUUCUACUAUGAACUCUUUUAAUUAACUGAUCUUAGUAAUUGUUGUAUAUUAGUCUGAGAAUCUUGGAAACUUUCUACUUAUAGUUCUAGAUUGAUGGAAGUGUUUGAAUAGCUAGAGAUUUAAGUUUGUUUUGUGAACCUAUCUCCUAAAUAAUCCUUUUUUUUAAAUAAGAAGAUUAACACAUUAUUAUUAUUAUUUAACAUACUUACUUUUUUCUCCUCAUGAGGUGACUAAGUUCAACAGCUCAUUCAUUUGAAAUAGAAUACUAAAGAAAAAGUGCCAAUAUUUUUGUAGUAAUAAAAGAAAAAUGCAACCAUAAAGUCAAACUAUUCUCAUGCAUUACAUUACAUAAUAUAUAAAUAUGAUAUUAAUCUCAAGUCUUUAAAUAUAUUAAUCAGUAAUCUGAAGACUGAGGCAAAUAGAAAUUACCCGCCGGGGACUCAAAAUCACCGGCGCCGACGUCGGAAACCGUCGGCAUCGAACCCAACAUCGGAUUAUAUAUAUAAUCACUGCUCGAAUCAAAUCCCAAACACGACCCGAUUCCAAUUGAUGAUUGAUCAAAGCAUUCAAAUCCAACGUUCUGCGAUUCCAUCACACCGUAAUUAUUAUAAUCACAAUCCACCGAUUCCGAGGAAAUCGCCGGGAGAAAUGGCGGAAGCUCAGCGCUGGCGUCGUAAUCGCCGGAGAUGAUUCCGGAAAGGGAGUCUCCGGCGGGGGGAAUUGGUGGAGAAGAGAGGGAGGAGUGGGUGGAAGCAGAGGAAGAAAACAGAGGAGGCUGAUUGGGGUGGUGAAUGGAGGCAGAGUAGAGUGGGGGAGGAGGGGGCGGAGAGUCGGAGUAGAGGAAGUUGGUGCGAGCGAGGGAGCCGCGGAGGGAGCGGGCAGCACGGUCGUAGGCAAUGGCGGCGUCCUCGGCGGUGUCGAAGGUGCCGAGCCAAUGACGCUCUUUGGUGGAAGGAUCUCUGAUCUCGGCGGCAUAUCGACCCCAGGGUCGUCGACGGACUCCGAGGAAACGGUGGGGCGUAGAUUCUGCGGGGGGCGGGGGUGGUGCUUUCUUUUGGGUUUGGAGGGCGAUGGACUCAUUUGUGUAAGAGAAGAAGAAGGUUUUAAUGUGUUUGGUUUGCUGAGAGUUGAAGUUGCAUGAAUGAUGUGGGGGUUUAUAUAUACACAAAGGUCAAUUAAGCAUCGCAUCUUGUGAGUUUUUCUUCUUUCCUUUUGUAUUUCUUAUAAUGUUGUAGUUUUAUCACAACUUACAACAAUUCUCUUUUCUUCAUUUUACUCAUAUAUAUAUAUAUAAAUCUUUAAUGUGGAAGCAUAAUCAACCGACUUCAAUCAAAUAAAUCUUUUUUUUCUCCAAAAUUUAAAUUUAAAUCUAUCCCAUCUUCCUAUACUUUAUUUAUUUAUUUCAAAUAAAAAUCUUGAAGUAAAUUAGAUGAACCACGUGGAGUAGACUAAAAAGAAUAUAAAACUAACAUAUUAAUGUUAACAUCCAUCACAAAGUAAUAUAAACUAGAAAAAUAAAGUCAGUACAAAACAUUUAUAAAAUAAACUCUACGAAACUACGUAUAAAUAUUCCAACGUAAUGAAUAACAAAGCCCUCAAAGAAGAAGAAAGAAAGAAAAAAGCAUUUAAAUGAAUCACAAAAUACUCCAAACUUGAUACACUAAAACAAAGUGACUUUUUUUUGUUUUUUAAUAAAAUAUCAAUUUAUCAUCUAGUCGUCACUUAAAAAUUAAAACUCUAGAUUAUUUAGAAUGGAAACUAAAAGACAUUUUGAAAGUUGAAGAACUAAGCACAUAAAAAAAAUUUAAGUUCAAAAAAAAAAAAAAAAAAACGAAGAUAAAAAUUUACUAUAUAUUUUGUAUGUUAUUAUAAAAUGUAAAUAUUUUAUUAAAAUUACCAUUUUUUACCGUAUAUAUAAACCCUUAACUUUAGUUUUUAAAAAAUAAAAUACUCCAAUCAAAUAUUGUAGAGGGUGAUAAAAUUGCAACUUUUAAAACAAUAUUGGUAUUUUUAGAUGAAGGUAAGUAUUUUUAUACUUUUUUUUUAGUACUCCUUGAUUUGAAACAAAAAUAGUCUCUAGAGUUCAAUAAGUAUUUAUUUUGGAUAUUUUUAAAAAUAAUAAAAUAUUUAAACUAUUUUUUCCAAAAAUCCAUCUCUCUUUUUUAGUUAUAUUUUGUAAAUAUUUUUUUGUGCUAUUUAUCGCCACAACGCUCCUAAUUAUUAUUUUAUAAGAAUUUAAAUGGAAAUUUGUCAAAAAUGAGAAAUUUGACAAAAUAUUUACAAAAUGUAGCAAAAUUUUAGGUUUUGUCCAUGAUAGACAUUGAUAGACAAUAAUAAAAAUUUAUCAGUAUCUAUUAAUAGAAUCUAAAAUUUUACUUUACAUUUUAUAAAUGUUUAAGUUUAUUUUACUAUAUUUAAAAAUGUUACUCUUUCAAAAUUUUAUUAACAUUUAGAUAAAGAAAAGUAAAUAUAUAUUGGAAGGAACUUAAUUACCUCCUUAGUAACUCUUUUCUUAGAAAAAUAUGGUUAAAUUUUCAGCUUACACUGUAUAUGUUAAAUAUACAAUUGUCCAAGACUAAUCAUUAUACUUUUAAUGGUUAACAAAAGUUGUCCAUAUUAUAGUUUAUUGCAUUAAAUAUAUAGUGAUCGUGACAAUUAUACCAUUAAAUAAAAAGAUUAAAUUUUCAAAUUUAUAUAAAUGUUAACCUUGAAUUCUCACACUUAAGUAAAAAAGAAUAAGAAACUAUAACUAUAAUAAUUAGUGUGCAUAAGUUUCAACAUUCAAUAUUUUUAUCAAUUCAAUGACUCAAAUUUAGCAUAUGUUAGAAAGUUGAGAAUCAUAUUUUUAUCCUUCAAAAUUUGAAGCAUUAUUAAUUUUGAUAUAAGAAAAUAAUUUUAAAAGGGACAUUUUUAAAUAUAUAAUUUAAUAGAGUAAAAUAUUAACAAAAAUUUAAGAUUUUAUCAAUAAUAGAUAGAAAUUUUAUCGUAAAAUUUUUUUGUUGUAUUUUAUGAAUAUUUUCAACCAUUUAACAUUUACUAUCAUAAAUUUUUUAUUUAAAAACAGAAAAUUAAAAUAAAAGAAACUCAAUUAUAAGACUAAAAUAUUAAUUGAACAUAUAAAAAAAACUUAUUAUUUUAGUAAUAAUAAUGAAUAGUAAAUUAAGAAAGAGAGCACAUUUUUGUUAGCCAUACGUGUCAUUAUCCACAAAAACUCAGAAUUCAAGUCUUCAGGGGAACCUAUACCAUUGAGCUAUGUAUAAAAUUGAGAAAUAUAUUUAUGUAUGUAUUAAAAUGUUGUAUUCUUUUUUUAAAAAUACACGUGUUAACUAAGUUUUAACAUGUUAAAAUAUAUGUAUAUAUAACUUUAAGAUUAAAUAAUAUAAAAUUGAAAACUAUAGGGUUAUAAUAAUAUAAUGAAAAGAAAUGGUAGGGGGUGCUUGAGUUAGGUAUAAAUGUUUUUUAAAAAAUAAGAAUAAUAUAUAUUAUAUAGUUUAGGUGUAGGCAUGCAUGCAUGUGCUUCCAUUUUGACUGAUGAGACAAAAGUGCAAAAUGAAUUCAGCAAUCAUAUGCUCCACGCACUCUUCUCUUACUUCCAUGCUUUCUUCUUCUUCUUCUUCUUUUUUUUCUUUUCAUUCUUUUUUGAAUUAUUAGUGUUUGUUUGUGUGUGUAUAUAUAUAUAUUAUUGGUUAUAUUUUAAACUAAAAGAAACAGUUUCUAUAUUUUCUAGAUUCUCCAAGUAAAAGAAAUAGUUAACUUCGAUGAUUUACUUCGUGGGUGUUGAAGGCAUAUACUAAAUCAUAAUAACUUACCUUCUUGAGUGUGAUUAAACCUAAACUUUAGUUUUCUAAGUGUUAUUUAACUUAAAUAAUAUAUGUGAUUUGUAUUGAGUAUUUGAGUGUGAUCUACAUCCAUGUUAGAAUUAAAUACAAAUAAAAUUUCUCUCUCUAUUCUUUUGUAAAGUCAAUCUAAAAAAGAUAAAAAUUUGUGUGUGUCUUAAUUCUAUGUAGAUGGGUUGCAUGUGAAUCAAUCAAAAAGACAUAUAUAGAGACAAAAGGGUUUCUUUUUAAGAAAACGAUGAGUAGCUAAUUGAUCAUAGCCAUAUUAUAAUAAUUCAAACUUCAAAUUUGCAUUACAUUCACACUUUGACCAAAUGUCCUUUAUAAUUACAUUAAGCCUUACUACACUGUGUCUAAUAUUAUGUAUUAAUAUUCUCCGAUUUACUCCUUCAUUUUUAGUGAAUAUUAAAAUUGAGUUAUCAUAUAUUUACUACCUAUAUCUUAGAUUUUAAAUAUUGAUAUCAAUAAAAAUAUCACGGUCCUAGUUAGGUUCUAUGAAAAUAUAAAUGAAAAUGUUGGUGUCAAAAUACUAUAAGAUUUUGUGGAAAUUGCUAUAACUAGAUAAAGUUAAAUAUAGACUAUAAACCAACUAUUUUUAAUCAUCAUUUUUAUGGAGGUAAAAUUUUGAUCAAAGGAAAAAGUUUUCGACCUCUACGUGAUAACAAUGGUAAAUUUAUAAUUUAGGAAAGAGAUGACUUUAUGCCUAAGUUUCAUAAGAGAACUAAAUAAUAGUGAAAAAGACAAAAGUUCUUAAGUACUUAAAUAUGAAGUCAUAAUCUCGUAUUUAUAGGAGAAUUGAUUAAUGUUUAUCUUAGUUCAACUAGCUAGAACUAGGAAUCAAAUAAAUUAGGUUAUCUUGCAAGCUAAAUGGAUUAGGAUAUGUCCACCGUUCAUCAAAUUUUGAGGCUUCAUCUCAACUUCAUUCUUGGUCGAAGUCGAUGUUUAGAAGGUUGGUUUGAGCUAUCUAAACCAUCCUUUUCUCAAGGUCCAAAGAAGUUAUAGGAAGCACCAUUCUACAAACAAAUUAAAAGGUCGGCCUUGACCUUAUCCUUGAUCGAGGCCAUGGUAGAUUGGGCUACAUUGGCUAAAAGCCUGGUCUAUUUACUAUUGUUUUUUGGCUCGAUAACUUCCUAAGUGAGUUUUUGGAGUGUAGGAAAAGGUCUGCAAUACUGCUUGAAAGACUGGGGAAGCAGAAGAUUGAUGUUCUAUAUUCUGGUUUGCUUAUUAGUAUUUUGUUGUUCGGAAUUUUGGAUUAGGAGGUUUUGUUUGUUUGAUGUUUGUGAAUUAUAUGUAACGUGACUCAUUUUCUGAGGUUCACGGUUUGCUUAUGUUGUAAGUUGUGUUUGAAUUAUCAAUAUAAUAGAAACACUACAUCAGUGUUCUAUCAGGAUGUCAUCCUUGGAAUGCAAUGGCUGCACACGUUGGGGUAACUGAAGUGGAUUGGCGGAAACUCACUUUAUCUUUCAUACAAAAUGAAAAGAAUGUUGUUAUAAGGGGUGACCCGAGUUUGACAAAGACUAGAGUGAGUCUAUAACACAUGAUGGAGACAUGGACACCAUCUGAUUAAGGUUUCUUGACAAAAUGUUGAGCUAUGGAGGGAGGAAUGACAUUUACCGAACUAUAUGGAAUUGAUGAUGUUCCUACAUUUCAAGAGUUACUACCAGCAGACAAUUUUGGCUAUCCUAAAAAUCCAGCAACAAAGAAGUGGGAAGUGCUUGUUAGUUGGAAAGGAAUACCACCUCAUGAGGCUACAUGGGAGAACUGUGAUGAUUUUACACAAAAGCUUCCUCAUUUCCCACCUUGAGAACAAUGUGUCUUUGGAGAGGGAGAGUAAUGAUAGACCACCAAUUGCAAUACAAUAUAGCAGAAGAAAGACAAGUGGAAUUGCACAUGCACAGGUGAUGGAAUUGGAGGAAGUGGAAACCACCUUAGUGGGGACAACAGUUAGUUAUAGGGGGAGGUUAAAAGGGAGAGAUGGAAGGAAAGAUGGGGGUUGGUUAAUCAGUUUCUGGAAGUGGAGGGGCUGUAUUUUCUGGAGAGCAGAAUUACAGAAGUUGUUCAGUUACUUUAAUCUUAGAAAGUGUUUUCCAUUAUCCUAAACUACUUUUGAUGUUUGAAUGUUUUAUUUUAUACUUGGUUAUUGUCUGUAAUAGUACUUGUUUGUUCGAUGUUUUAAAGACUAGUUUGAGUAUUGUAUUCUGUAAUAGUUUGGUUGCUUAAUGAACAAAUAAGAACCAUUACUUGGUGUUCCAUCAGCUUCUCAAUCAAGCAUACACAUCUCAAUAAGGUAUUAUACAUGCAAUCAAACAAUCACAACAUACAUACCAUUUACUCAAAACGACCUAAAACAUGCUCAAAACGACCUAAAACGUGCUCAAAACGUGUCUAACUUUCACUGCAACUUUCAAAACAACCUAAAAAAGCUUACGUGCAGGUUCGUAACUCAUAACCUACAAAAAAAGUUCAAAUAUCGUGAAAAAAGCACUACAAGACCCAAAAUGGCAACCAAGUGUGUAAGUGCAACAAACUUAGUUCAAACCAACCUAAAACGUGCUCAAAACGUGUCUAGGUAUUACUUGAGUUUUCAAAACGACCUAGCAAAUCCUAAGGGUAAGUUCGUAACUCAUAAUCUACCAAAAAGGUUGAAAAAAGCAUUUCAAGACCAAAAGUGACAACCAUGUGUGUAAGAGCAACAAACUCAAUCUAACCUAAAAUGUAUUCAAAACGUGUGUAAGUAUCACUUGAAUUUUCAAAACGACCCAGCAAUGCUUAACUGUAAGUUUGUAACUCACAACGUACCAAAAUUUCAAAAAGUGUGAAAAAAGUACUUCAAGACCCAACAUGUCAAUCAAAUGUGUUUAAAACUUAGUGUCAAACCAACCUAAAACGAGUUAAAAACGUGUCUAAGUAUCACUUGAACAUUUAAAAUGUCCUAAAACAGCUUACGUGUAGGUUCGUAACUCAUAACCUACGAAAAAAGUUCAAAUAUUGUGUAAAAAGCACUACAAGACCCAAAAUGGCAACCAAGUGUGUAAGUGCAACAAACUUAGUUCAAACCAACCUAAAAUGUGCUCAAAAACGUGUCUAGGUAUUACUUGAGUUUUCAAAACGACCUAGCAAAUCCUAAGUGUAAGUUUGAAACUCAUAAUCUACCAAAAAUGUUGAAAAAAGCAUUUCAAGACCAAAAAUGACAACCAAGUGUAACAAACUCAAUCUAACCUAAAAUGUAUUCAAAACGUGUGUAAGUAUCACUUGAAUUUUCAAAACGACCCAGCAAUGCUUAAGUGUAAGUUUGUAACUCACAACCUACCAAAAUUUCAAAAAGUGUGAAAAAAGUACUUCAAGACCCAACAUGUCAAUCAAACGUGUGUAAAACUUAGUUUCAAACCAACCUAAAACGAGUUCAAAAUGUGUCUAAGUAUCACUUGAACUUUCAAAACGACCUAACAAAUAUUCAAUACAAGUUCAUAAGUCAUAACCUAGCAAAAAGUUCAAAAUUUUUAAAAAGACACUCCAAAACCCAAAAUGUCAAUUGUGUAACUGCAACGAACUUAGUUCUAUACAAACCUAACAAGUAUUCAAAACACGUAUAAGUUUUCAAACAACCUAACAACGCUUAAGUGUAAGUUUAUAACUCAUAGCUUACCAAAAAUUUCAAAAAGUGUGAAAAAAAAUCUUUCAAGACUCAAAAUGGCAACCAUGGCUAUAUGUAAAACUAACUUAGUUUGUAACAACCUAAAAGGUGUUCAAAAAAUGUUUAAGUAUAACUAGAACUUUAAAAAACGACCUAAUAAUGCUUUAGUGUUACUUCAUAACUCAUAACCUACCAAAAAGUUCAAAAAAUGUAGAAAAAGCACUCCAAAAUCCAAAAUGGCAACCAAGUGUGUAAGUGCAACAAACUUAGUCUCAACUUUAAAAUUAGUGCGAGUUGGGAAAUGUAUUAACUCAAGCAUGAUGUACAAACUUGAAACGACUUAAAUAUUUAUUCACCAUCACAUAAAAACAGUAAUUAAAUAUAGAUAACAUGUGUAAAUAAAGGGAGAACCACCUUUCUAGCAGUAGCUUUAGAGUAAGACCAAACACCAUCCUCCUACUUGUAAAUCUGCUCGAUUGUCUACUUUGUUCUACACUCGUCAUUUCACCGUCUCAGGCCAUCCAUUGAAUUGGCCACCCAGCCUUGGCAUACAAGAGUAUGUCUCAACCUGUUAACAAAUACCACUAAAACUAAGCAAGACAAGAAAAAAGUUUUCAAAAAAUUACCUAACUUUUAGGUCUUCAUGUGACCUUUAAGUUUUUUUGUCUUCUCCUUCAACUCUUUGACAGAUUGCUGAAAUUAUGUGUUUCUGCAAUGUGUACCAGAACAUGAAAGAUUCAUUACGAAAAUAAAUAUCAUGAAUACAAACCAUGAAGAAAUACAAAAAGCCUCUUCAUUAAGCUGAAAAUGAGUAGACAACAAAAAAGAUAAUACAAAGAAGCCCUAGGAUCAGCUAGUGCACGUGGACAUCUCAUCUAGGUUGACACCCACUUAGCAUUCUCACCAUAUCGAGACUUAAACCAAAAGACUAAACCAACGACAAGAUUUAGAAUAGAUCAUACAAACUGCCCAAUAACUAUACAACAUAGAUUUAAGACCACUAGAAAUCCAAAAGAAAUAAAAUAAGAGUGCAGUAGUGGACUAAGAAUUAAAAAUGAAAGUCGGCCAAUUAUGACUUAUAUCUUGUAUGGAGAAAUCUUUGAAGUUUUUUGAAAGAGAGCAUCAAGUAGAAGCAUUGAUUCUAGCCAUUUCGACUCGAGUUGUCCAAGAGGAAGCUUUAUUUUGAAAUGUUAGUUGAUUAUGUUAAAACCAAAUUUCUGGUAAAAUGGCCUUUACUGCAUUUAACCAAAUCAAUCUUGGUUUCUUCUUGAGAAUGGGACAUGAAAUAAGCUGGACCACGUUCUCCUAAAUCUAUAGUCGAAAACCCAAUUCAAAUGAAGAUAGCCAAGUAAGCCAAACCAACACUUCUUUGCAUGUAAGCAGGAGAAGAAAAUAUGAUGUAAAUCUUCUAAAGCAUGCAAACACAAGGGACAAACAUGAGGAGAUAAACUGAGAAAGGGAGGUUUCAUUUGCAAAACUUCUGCACAGUUCAUAGUCCAUUUCGCAUUCUCCAAAGCGUGAUAUUCACUCUGUUGGUGAUAUAUAAUUAAAUUUGCCUUCAACCACAAGCUUAAGCUUUUGGAUGAAUUGGUGGUUUAAUAUGGUAUCAGAGCAGGUGCUCCAGGGAGGUCAUGUGUUCAAGCCCCUGCAUUGUCGUUUCCUCCCCAAUUAAAAUCAAUUUCCACUUGUUGGGCCUUUCAAAUAUUUCAAACCCAAAAGUGAGGUAAAAUUUAUUCCACUUGUUGGGCCUUUCAGAUAUUUCAAGCCCACAAGUGAGGGGGAGUGUUGGUGAUAUAUAAUUAAAUUUGCCUUCAACCACAAGCUUAAGCUUUUGGAUGAAUUGGUGGUUUAAUACACUCUUCUAGGGCUUUUUGUCUUCCAAAUUGUCGAGUACUUUGUUUUCAAGACUGUGUUAGAACCUGUUUUCUGUAAAUGUUUGGCUGAUUAAUAAAUUAGUAGAACACACUAUUUGGUGUUCUAUCAUUUUGGUAUCGGAGAAAUCGAAUCUGUGAAGUUCUAUUAUCAUGGCUCAAAAGCGAAUUGAGGAAAAGUUGGAAAUGGUAGAUCAAGAAAUAUCCGGCAUUCGAGCAGAAUUACAUGAUCUGCCAACAAUCAAGGAAAACAUGUCAUCUUUGGCGAAGAGUAUUGAGAGGUUAGGAGUACAGGCUGAGAAGCAACAACAGCAACCAGAAACACUGUUGAAAUAUAUUGAAGGAAUGAUCAAAGGGAAGACAACGAUGGAAGAAGUACUAGAAGGAUCAUCAAGUGAAGUUGACAGCAUGGUUGAUGUCAGUUAUUGGACGAUGAUGGGAGGAAAAUCUGAGGAAAAACAUACCAAGUUGGAGGGUGAAGAUUCUGCGGGUGACCGAAGCAAAUUUAAAAAUAUUGAAAUGCUAGUUUUUGUGGGAAAUGAUCCUGAUUCUUGGUUGUUUAGGGCUGAGAGAUACUUUCAGAUACACAAACUGAGUGAGUCAGAGAAAAUGACUGUGUCCAUUAUUAGUUUUGAUGGAGCAGCUUUGGAUUGGUAUAAAUCUCAUGAAGAUCGUGAACCGUUUGUUAAUUGGGACGAUUUAAAGAAGAGACUUAUUGUUUGAUUUCGAUCGAGUCGUGAGGGAUCAAUUCUGGGAAGAUUUUUAAAGAUCAAGCAAGAAAUUACAGUGGAAGAAUAUUGGAAUUUAUUUGAUAAAUCAGUAGCACCAUUGCCUUUUCUACAAAAGGCUGUCUUAGAAGAAACAUUUAUGAAUGGUUUGAAACCAUGGAUUAAGGCAGACAUGGAAUGUUGGGAACCUAUGGGCUUUGCUCAAAUGAUGAAGUUGGCCCAAAAGAUUGAGAACCGAGAAGUGAUAAGGGAGAAUCAAGUUUCAAACGUGCAGCGGAUGGAAAAUUCCAGGUUUCUGCUUCUUUUAAACCUCAAAUUCCUGUGAUUUCUAAUGAUAAUAAGUCAGGAGGGAUUGUUCCAAUGCGGAUGAUUACACUUCGAGGAGUGGCUGGUGAACCUAAUCGACGAGAAGGACCACUAAAACGACUUUCUGAUGCUGAAUUUCAGGCUAGACGUGAGAAAGGUCUCUGUUUUCGUUGUGAGGAAUGAUUUUUUGUGGGCCAUAAGUGUAAAGUGAAAGAUCAUAAGGAACUUAGAGUUUUAGUUGUUGGGGCAAAUGGGGAAGAACUAGAAGUAGUUGAAGAAGAGGAUUCAAAAGUGGAAACUGAAAUACAGGAGACUGAAGUUGUUAAACCAGAAGAACCCGUGAUCGAAUUAUCAAUAAAUUCGGUGGUGGGAUUAACAAACCCUGGAACUAUGAAAAUUAAAGGUAUGAUUAGAGAAAGGUCAGUAGUAGUAUCGAUAGAUUGCGGCGCGACCAAUAAUUUUAUAUCUGAAAAGUUAGUAACUCAAUUGUUGUUGCAGUUGCAGGAAACUUCUGAUUAUGGGGUUAUUUUGGGGUCUGAAUCUGCUGUAAAAGGGAAGGGAAUUUGUAAACAAGUGGAACUGCUAUUGGGUGAAUGGAAGGUUGUGGAUAAUUUUCUGCCAUUGGAAUUGGGGGGGAGUGGAUGUCAUUCUUGGUAUGCAAUGGCUACAUACAUUAGGAGUAACCGAAGUAGAUUGGUGAAAACUUACUUUGACAUUCAUACAAAAUGGGAAGAAGGUUGUAUUAAGGGGAGAUCCGAGUCAUACGAAGGCUAGGGUGAGUUUGAAGCACAUGAUGAAGACAUGGACAGAACUUGAUCAGGGAUUUCUGAUUGAGUGUAGAUCUUUGGAAGGUGGAAUGGCAUUUGCAGCGAUGUAUGGGGUUGAUGAAGUGCCUACCACUCAUGAGUCUAUUCCAGCCGUGUUAGCUAAGAAUGAAGAUGUUUUUGAUUGGCCUGGAGAGUUGCCACCACAAUGUACCAUUGAACAUCAUAUACAUCUUAAGAAGGGGACUAAUCCAGUCAAUGUUCGGCCUUAUAGAUAUGCAUACCAGCAAAAGGAGGAGAUGGAAAGAUUGGUUGAUGAAAUGAUGGCAUUUGGCAUAAAAACCUAGUACUAGUCCAUAUUCGAGCCCGGUCUUGUUGGUGAAAAAAAAUGGUAGUUGACGGUUUUGUGUAGAUUACCGUGCGUUGAAUAGUGUGACCGUUCCAGACAAGUUUCCUAUUCCAGUAGUAGAGGAAUUGUUUGAUGAACUUAAUGGGGCUAAUAUAUUUUCGAAGAUUGAUCUCAAGGCGGGAUAUCAUCAAAUUAGAAUGUGUAAAAAGGAUGUGAAGAAAACAGCUUUUAGAACUCACGAGGGGCAUUAUGAGUUUCUUGUCAUGCCUUUUGGGCUCACCAAUGCACCAUCAACGUUUCAAGCUUUGAUGAAUAGUAUCUUUAAACCUUACCUACGCAGGUUUUCUUAGUCUUUUUUGAUGAUAUAUUAAUUUACAGCAGAAGUUUGGAUGAAAAUCUUCAACAUUUAGAAUGGGUGUUAGAGGUGCUGCGAGAGAAUAAAUUAUAUGCUAAUAUGCAGCACAAGUGUGGGUUUGCCAAAAUGAAAGUGGAGUAUCUUGGCCAUAUAAUUUCGGGCAAGGGUGUAGAGGUUGAUCCCGAGAAAAUUAGAUCUAUCAAAGAAUGGCCCGUGCCCACUAAUGUCCGUGAAGUUCGUGGAUUUCUUGGGUUGACAGGAUAUUAUCGAAGAUUUGUAAUGAAUUAUGGAAGUGUGGCUGCUCCUUUGACUCAAUUAUUGAAGAAAGGAGCAUAUGAAUGGACUGUUGCAGCUGCUGAAGCUUUUGAGAAUUUAAAGAUGGCUACGAUGACUCUCCCAAUCUUAGCACUGCCAGAUUUUUCCUUACCAUUUGAAAUAGAGACCGAUGCUUCUGGAUACGGGGUAGGUGCUGUCUUAAUUCAAAAUCAUCGGCCAAUUGCUUAUUUUAGCCAGACAUUAGCUAUGAGGGAUCGUGCUAAACCAGUUUAUGAACGGGAAUUAAUGGCUGUAGUUUUGGCUGUGCAACGCUGUAGACCUUAUCUUUUGGGCAGGAGGUUUGUAGUGAAAACUGAUCAACGAUCAUUGAAACUUUUAUUGGAACAAAGGGUUAUCCAACCUCAACAUCAGAGGUGGAUUGCUAAGCUUCUUGGCUACAAUUUUGAUGUCGUGUAUAAACCGGGACUAGAAAACAAAGCAGCAGAUGCCUUGUCUCGUGUCCCUCCUACUGCCCAACUUAAUCAACUUACUGUUGAGAUCAGUUAAAUUGGCAGUCCCCAACACUGAAGUUGACCCUAAAUUAGUCCCAGAAAUUAAUGGGAUGGAUCUGAAUGUCUUGUUCAAUGAUGAAGAUAUUCUCCCUAUUAAAAUUCCCCUGGAUUUGCCUAAAGAUUUAGUGUCUAUAGUCGGUGAUUGUGGAAUCAUUCUGGCUUAAAUUAGAUGUGCAACUGCCUUUUCCUCCUCCCAGUCAUUAUUAAGGUUGUCUCCUGGAACACUAAGGGUUUGAACGACUCCUCUAAACGUGCAGCACUUAAAAAAUUCAUCAACAAUUGUAGUCAUGAUUCAAGAAUCUAAGAAGGAUACCUUGAACUCGGCUUUUAUAAAAUCAUUGUGGAGUUCUAAGGAUAUUGGCUGGGAUUAUGUGGCUUCUGUUGGAUCUUCUGGGGGAAUUCUUACCAUGUGGGACAGCAGUAAAAUAUCUGUAACAGAGGUCAUUAAAAGACGCUUCUCUUUGUCAAUCAAAUGCCUCACUUUGUGCAAAAAGGUUUGUUGGAUCACAAAUGUCUAUGGCCCUUGUGGUUGCAGAGAAAGGAAAU